rnacentral:rRNA from 1 species
CCCUUAGAUGUCCUGGGCUGCACGCGCGCUACACUGACACGUUCAACGAGUUUUGCCUGCUCCGAUGGGACUGGGUAAUCUUAUGAAAGCGUGUCGUGAUGGGGAUAGAUUAUUGCAAUUAUUAAUCUUCAACGAGGAAUUCCUAGUAAGUACAAGUCAUCAGCUUGUGCUGAUUACGUCCCUGCCCUUUGUACACACCGCCCGUCGCUCCUACCGAUUGGGUGAUCCGGUGAAUAACUCGGACUGCAGCUAUUCGGGAGACCGUUAGCUUGUGGAAAGUUUAGUAAAUCUUAUCACUUAGAGGAAGGAGGAGUCGUAACA